rnacentral:rRNA from 1 species
CGGGGGGCAGCAGUGGGGAAUAUUGGACAAUGGGCGCAAGCCUGAUCCAGCCAUGCCGCGUGAGUGAUGAAGGCCUUAGGGUUGUAAAGCUCUUUCAGUAGGGAAGAUAAUGACGGUACCUACAGAAGAAGCCCCGGCUAACUUCGUGCCAGCAGCCGCGGUAAUACGAAGGGGGCUAGCGUUGUUCGGAUUUACUGGGCGUAAAGCGCACGUAGGCGGAUCGUUAAGUCGGGGGUGAAAUCCUGGAGCUCAACUCCAGAACUGCCUUCGAUACUGGCGAUCUUGAGUCCGGAAGAGGUGAGUGGAACUCCUAGUGUAGAGGUGGAAUUCGUAGAUAUUAGGAAGAACACCAGUGGCGAAGGCGGCUCACUGGUCCGGUACUGACGCUGAGGUGCGAAAGCGUGGGGAGCAAACAGGAUUAGAUACCCGAGU